CACGUAGGGUGCGAGCGUUAAUCGGAAUUACUGGGCGUAAAGUGUGCGCAGGCGGCGUCGCAGGUCGAGUGUGAAAGCCCCGGGCUUAACUUGGGAAUUGCGCUCGAAACUACGGUGCUGGAGUAUGGCAGAGGAAGGUGGAAUUCCACGUGUAGCGGUGAAAUGCGUAGAGAUGUGGAGGAACACCGAUGGCGAAGGCAGCCUUCUGGGCCAAUACUGACGCUCAUGCACGAAAGCGUGGGGAGCAAACAGG
rnacentral:rRNA from 1 species